GCUGGGCCCGGACCCGGGAGGGCAACGGCCAGCCGAUCGUCCGCGUGGCGUGCAUGGCAUGCACAUGGGCCACGACGACAGCUGGCGGGGCGGCCUCCUUCCUUCCUCCUGCCCCAGUUUGAUCCCUCCUGUUCCCGUCCAAAGUGUGGCGUUGUCACUUGUUGUCAGGCUACCGGACCAAACUGCGUGCUCCGGCCUCCGGGAGAGGAGAGAGGGUAGAGCCAGAGGAGUUGGGCGCGCAGCAGGAUGAGCGGGGAGGAGGCCGACGGCUCCAAGCCCCAAGGAGGCGGUGUACACUACGGCACCUUCCAGGGGCCGCCCAGCUACCCGCCCCCGCGCCCGCCGCCGAGCCUCUCCGCCCACCACCGCGGCGACUACCAGGCCGUUCCCGUUCUGGAGCGACGGUUCUACUGUACUUCUCUAGUCUACUCCUACUUACUGUCAAACCCUUCUUGUCCUGUGCCUGUGCCCACUGUAUGCAAUCUCGAGAUUACGAGGCAGGUGUGCGGGGACGUAGCCAUGAUCGACUUCCCUGUUGUGGCAUUGGUUUUGGAUGGUUCCUGUUCAUAGUCGGUUUCUUCCUUGGUGCCAUUCCCUGGUACGUUGGAGCCUUUCUGCUGUGCUGUUCCAGAGUUGAUUACAGGGAGAAACCAGGUUAUGUCGCAUGUGUUGCAGCGGCUAUCCUCGCUACAAUUGCUGUUAUCAUUGGGGCGGCAGCUGGAACUCAUGUUCUUUGAUUUUUUUUAGCUUACAAGGCUAUCCUCACUACAAUUUAGGCUAGUUUGGGAGCCCGAAAAUCGGAGGAGAGUUGAGGGGCUAAAAUCCUCUUAUUAUUCAAAUUUGAUUAAGAAGAAGAUUUUAGUCCCUCCAAUCCACUACGAUUUUCGGGCUCCCAAACUAGCCCUUACUGUUAUCAUUUGGGCGGCAGCUGGAAGUGGAAGUGGAACUCAUGUUUUUUUUAGCUUACAUUGUAUUGUCAUUGUACAUACAUACAGUAGUACAUGGUGUCCAUGUGUCGAAGAAAUCGUGCAAUCAACAUCGUAAUGGAUGUCUGUUCUGCAUUCGCAAUUAUUCAUGUUUAUAACAAGGAGAACAAAGACCUUGCUCUUAGUCGUAAAUAAACCAGACGGAGAUGACUCCGCCUUGUGAAAAAUGAAGGAAUUUGAUCUGGAAGAAAAUUGUAGCCAUGUAUUGUGCUUUAAUGGCUGAUCUAUGAAGUUGUAACCAGGGUUUGCUGGAGCUGAACGAACAUGCUGCAUCAAAUUUGUCAAGAAGUGUUGUCUUGCUUGUUUU